AGAUUUUGACUCCCGUGUACUGCGUUAUAAGGUUCUUCCUCCACUUUGUGCAGAGCUCCGGAACGUGGUAAUGCAACCCAUGAUUCUUCCCAUGGUUCUGACCAUUGCAGAAUCUCAGGAUAAAAGUGAUUUUGGGAUAUCGACCCUGCCAGCUCUUGUUCCUGUUUUAAACAGCGCAGCAGGUGAAACAUUAUUGUUACUUGUUAAGCAUGCAGAGCUUAUUAUCAACAAGGCUAGUCAGGACCACUUAAUCUCACAUGUUCUGCCCAUGCUUGUCCGAGCUUAUGAUGAUACUGAUCCA
rnacentral:misc_RNA from 1 species